rnacentral:ncRNA from 1 species
UAAAGUUUUGGUCCUAAACUUGCCCUUGUUUUUUAUCAAAAUUACACAUGCAAGCUUCAACAAGCCAGUGAGAAUGCCCACAACCCCCCAAACAGCCUAAAGGAGCAGGCAUCAGGAACACCAAAAAUUUUAGCCUACAACGCCUUGCUACGCCACACCCACACGGGUACUCAGCAGUGAUUAACAUUAAGACAUGAGCGAAAGCUCGACUUAGUUAUGAUUAAGCCUGGUCGGUAAAUUUCGUGCCAGCCACCGCGGUUAUACGAAAGACCAAAAACAAGGACCCCCGGCGUAAAGAGUGACCAAGAGAACAUCUAACAAUUUAAAGGAAAACCACCUCAAAGUUGUAAAACACCUUGAUAAUGGGACCCCCAACAAUAAAAUGCCUUUAAACACCUAAGACCCCUCACCUUCACUAAAGCUAAGAAACAAACUAGGAUUAGAUACCCUACUAUGCUUAGCCCUUAACACAGACAACAGACAUACAAUGCUGUCCGCCAGAGAACUACAAGUGAAAAACUUAAAACUCCAAGGACUUGGCGGUGCUCCAUACCGUCCUAGAGGAGCCUGUCCUAUAAUCGAUACCCCACGUUAUACCCGACCAUUUUUUGCAACCUCAGCCUAUAUACCGCCGUCGUCAGCCUACCCUAUGAAGGCCAAAAAGUAGGCAAAAUAGUUAUUCAACUAGCACGUCAGGUCAAGGUGUAGCACAUAAAAUGGAAGAGAUGGGCUACAUUUUCUACUUCAGAAAACACGAACUGCACAAUGAAAUACGUGCAAGAAGGUGGAUUUAGCUGUAAGACAAACAAGAAUGUUUCUCUAAACCUCGCUCUGGAGCGCGCACACACCGCCCGUCACCCUCAUCAACAUGAUCUUGCCCAAAAAUAUAGCCAAACUCAUACCUCAGAUGAGGAAAGUCGUAACAUGGUAAGCGCACCGGAAGGCGUGCUUGGAAUAAC